AGCGAACGCUGGCGGCAGGCUUAACACAUGCAAGUCGAGCGGGCAUAGCAAUAUGUCAGCGGCAGACGGGUGAGUAACGCGUGGGAACGUACCUUUUGGUUCGGAACAACUGAGGGAAACUUCAGCUAAUACCGGAUAAGCCCUUACGGGGAAACAUUUAUCGCCGAAAGAUCGGCCCGCGUCUGAUUAGCUAGUUGGUGAGGUAAUGGCUCACCAAGGCGACGAUCAGUAGCUGGUCUGAGAGGAUGAUCAGCCACAUUGGGACUGAGACACGGCCCAAACUCCUACGGGAGGCAGCAGUGGGGAAUAUUGGACAAUGGGCGCAAGCCUGAUCCAGCCAUGCCGCGUGAGUGAUGAAGGCCCUAGGGUUGUAAAGCUCUUUUGUGCGGGAAGAUAAUGACGGUACCGCAAGAAUAAGCCCCGGCUAACUUCGUG
rnacentral:rRNA from 1 species